GACGAAGGAUGCAAGCGUUAUCCGGAUUCGUUGGGUUUAAAGGGUGCGUAGGCGGCCAGAUAAGUCAGUGGUGAAAUCCUGUUGCUUAACAACAGAACUGCCAUUGAUACUGUUUGGCUUGAGUACAGUUGCUGUGGGCGGAAUAUGACAUGUAGUGGUGAAAUACAUAGAGAUGUCAUAGAACACCGAUUGCGAAGGCAGCUCACAAAACUGUAACUGACGCUGAGGCACGAAAGUGCGGGGAUCAAACAGG
rnacentral:rRNA from 1 species